CCAUGAUCUCCGACUUUGGCCUCUGCAAGAAGCUGGCAGUGGGCAGACACAGUUUCAGCCGCCGAUCUGGGGUGCCUGGCACAGAAGGCUGGAUCGCUCCAGAGAUGCUGAGCGAAGACUGUAAGGAGAACCCUACCUACACGGUGGACAUCUUUUCUGCAGGCUGCGUCUUUUACUACGUAAUCUCUGAGGGCAGCCACCCUUUUGGCAAGUCCCUGCAGCGGCAGGCCAACAUCCUCCUGGGUGCCUGCAGCCUUGACUGCUUGCACCCAGAGAAGCACGGUG
rnacentral:lncRNA from 1 species